rnacentral:rRNA from 1 species
AACCAGCACCUCAAGUGGUCAGGAGGAUUAUUGGGCCUAAAGCAUCCGUAGCCGGCUUUGUUAGUUUUCGGUUAAAUCCAUGCGCUCAACGCAUGGGCUGUCGGAAAUACUGCAGAGCUAGGGAGUGGGAGAGGUAGACGGUACUCAGUAGGAAGGGGUAAAAUCCUUUGAUCUAUUGAUGACCACCUGUGGCGAAGGCGGUCUACCAGAACACGUUCGACGGUGAGGGAUGAAAGCUGGGGGAGCAAACCGG